UCAUAUGAGAGUUUGAUCCUGGCUCAGGACGAACGCUGGCGGCGUGCCUAAUACAUGCAAGUCGAGC
rnacentral:rRNA from 1 species